UACGAAGGGGGCUAGCGUUGCUCGGAUUGACUGGGCGUAAAGGGCGCGUAGGCGGUUUGUACAGUCAGACGUGAAAUUCCUGGGCUCAACCUGGGGGCUGCAUUUGAUACGUAUGGACUGGAGUGAGGAAGAGGGUCGUGGAAUUCCCAGUGUAGAGGUGAAAUUCGUAGAUAUUGGGAAGAACACCGGUGGCGAAGGCGGCGACCUGGUCCUUUACUGACGCUGAGGCGCGAAAGCGUGGGGAGCAAACAGG
rnacentral:rRNA from 1 species